CCUACGGGAGGCUGCAGUGGGGAAUAUUGGACAAUGGGGGGAACCCUGAUCCAGCCAUGCCGCGUGUGUGAUGAAGGCCCUCGGGUUGUAAAGCACUUUCAGUGAGGAAGAACGCCUGGUGGUUAAUACCCAUCAGGAAAGACAUCACUCACAGAAGAAGCACCGGCUAACUCCGUGCCAGCAGCCGCGGUAAUACGGAGGGUGCGAGCGUUAAUCGGAAUUACUGGGCGUAAAGCGCGCGUAGGUGGCUUGAUAAGCCGGUUGUGAAAGCCCCGGGCUCAACCUGGGAACGGCAUCCGGAACUGUCAAGCUAGAGUGCAGGAGAGGAAGGUAGAAUUCCCGGUGUAGCGGUGAAAUGCGUAGAGAUCGGGAGGAAUACCAGUGGCGAAGGCGGCCUUCUGGACUGACACUGACACUGAGGUGCGAAAGCGUGGGUAGCAAACAGGAUUAGAUACCCUAGUAGUC
rnacentral:rRNA from 1 species